AAUGAACGCUGGCGGCAUGCCUAACACAUGCGAGUCGAACGAACGGGCGGGAUUCGGGCUGCCCUGGUGUGGGCAACGGACGGGUGAUUCACACGUGGGUAACCUAUCUAUAAGGCUGGGAUAACGACAGCAGACCGUAUCUAAUACCCGACAAUAUUGUGAACCGGAUGGUUCAAGAGUGAAAGACGGUCUUGCGGUGACUUAUAGAUGUAUCCGCGCUGCAUUAGCUAGUUGGUAGGGUAACGGCUUACCAAGGCAACGAUGCAUAGCCGACCUGAGAGGGUGAACAGCCACACUGGGACUGAGACACGGCCCAGACUCCGACGGGAGGCAGCAGUAGGGAAUCUUGCGCAAUGGGCGAAAGCCUGAUCGAGCAACGCCGCGUGAGUGAUGAAGGUCUUCGGAUCGUAAAACUCUGUUGGCAGGGAAGAACAUAUGUGUACGUAACUGUGCAUACCUUGACGGUACCCGAAGAAAAAGCACCGGCUAACUACGUG
rnacentral:rRNA from 1 species